UACGAGGGGGGCGAGCGUUGUUCGGAAUUAUUGGGCGUAAAGGGCGCGUAGGCGGUCACUACAAGUCAGUUGUGAAAUCUCUGGGCUUAACUCAGAACGGUCAACUGAUACUGUGCGACUAGAGUGCGGAAGGGCCAACUGGAAUUCUCGGUGUAGCGGUGAAAUGCGUAGAUAUCGAGAGGAACACCUGCGG
rnacentral:rRNA from 1 species